ensembl:misc_RNA Metazoa_SRP Metazoan signal recognition particle RNA
GCCGGGUGUGGUGGCGCACGCCUGUAAUCCUAGCUACUUGGGAGGCUGAGGCAGGGGAAUCACUUGAACCUGGGAGGCAGAAUAUUGCAGUGAGCCGAGAUCGCACCACUGCACUCCAGCCAGGUGACAGAGAGAGACUCUGUCUCAA